rnacentral:rRNA from 1 species
AUUGAACGCUGGCGGCAGGCCUAACACAUGCAAGUCGAGCGAGUGGCGGACGGGUGAGUAAUGUCUGGGGAACUGCCCGAUAGAGGGGGAUAACUACUGGAAACGGUAGCUAAUACCGCAUACUAUCGGAUGUACCCAGAUGGGAUUAGCUAGUAGGUGGGGUAAAGGCUCACCUGGGCGCCGAUCCCUAGCUGGUCUGAGAGGAUGACCAGCAACACGGGAACUGAGACACGGUCCAGACGCCGACGGGAGGCAGCAGUGGGGAAUAUUGAACAAUGGGCGCAAGCCUGAUGCAGCCAUGCCGCGUGUAUGAAGAAGGCCUUCGGGUUGUAAAGUACUUUCAGCGGGGAGGCGUUACUCGCAGAAGAAGCACCGGCUAACUCCGUGCCAGCAGCCGCGGUAAUUC